rnacentral:lncRNA from 1 species
UCCGCCUGCUGUAUUUAUUGAAUUAUAUUUGUCCAGCUCACCCUCUGAGCGUUAAAGGGAAUGACAGCCAUGCACAUCCACCCCAACACACCCUGUAAUGUGUACAUACAUCCCCCAGCCAGCCCCAGACAAGCACAUGCAGACCCACACAGCCAAACCCACUCUGUGGUACUGUCACCUUCCCAUCCCAGUAAGGCGCUAUUGCCCCCCGAAAGCUGUAGGACAGUGACUUCCAGGCGACCCUUUCUGUCCUCCUUUCAGCUGUGAGCACCCUUUCCCCAGAGCUACUGUUUUUCUUCUGUCAAAGGUUAAGCCCCUCCAUCCAGCCCCUGUUUGUCUUUGUCCCCGGUCGUUUGACUUGUUAGAUGAUAGCCCAAUGUGUGUAAAUAAUGUAUAUACAGUGAGAAAAGAAUUCAGUAUUGAGGUGUUUGAGAUAUGGAGCUGUAACAACUUAUAGUCAUCCAGUAUCUGUGAUUUAUGUGCCAUUUUCUGUAAAGAUAUGAACAAGAAUAAAACUGAACGGGAAUACUGUGUGUGAGUCCAGUCACCAGUGUUCAAGGAGGUGAAUUCAGCCAAAGCUGAGAGGUGGCUGGACAUCAGGCCAUAACCAGAGAGAAGUGGGAGCUCCAAAGCGGCACAGGAGAGGUCUGGACCCAUCAUGGCAUCUGAUAAAAACGAGGUGUGUGGUCUGGGAUGAGUGCACCUGCCAUCAAAUAGUGCCUGUCUGCCGUAUGUUGUCCAGCCUGUUCACCAAACCUAUCAGCCCUGCAGACCACAAGUGGUGUUGCAAAGAGAUCUGCUGCUCCUCCCAUCCCUGCUGUUGAUCCCAUUGGGGCGCCUGGCUCUGAACAGCUCUGCUUGUAGGGAAAGCCUUUUUUUGAUCUAAUGUUGUACCCCUAGGAAAGGAGGGGAAUGUGGUCAGUGAAUGUAAGGAAACCUCCAAGCUCUGCCUUAAAAAGCUCUACCUAUAUAGGGCCUAAAGGAAAGGAAGGCAGAAAAAUAGCUGUUUGGAGGCAGGGAGGCAGCUUAUCUCUGCUACAGCAGGAAGAGAUGGGCUGCAAUGAUUCAUGCCAAACCACCACCACCUGCUCCGCAAUGGCCUCACUGAGUGCUCCCAGACAACCUUGCGGUACAGCCGGUCUGAAGUGUUUGGGAGGAGGCAGAGAGCCCAGCCCAGUUAGCCAAGGGGACAGCUCUGAUAGCCAGCAGCAGUGAGGUGGGAUGGGAUGAGAUAUCCCCUUCUGCAGCAGGUGGCCACAAGAGAAAAACUUUCCCUGGCUCACCAGAGACAGCACAGCCUUGUACUCAGCAGGGAAUGGACCUUAAUUCUGGGAAGGGGAUAAACCCAUUGCCCAAGACUAGCAUGGAGACUACCCUAACUUGUACAGGUGAGCUGCUCCAGGCUGUGUGGAUGGUGGAGGAUUGGGGGGCUGCAGUGGGGAGUCUGUGCGGAGCAAGAGGAUGGAUAUGGGGAUGAGUAAGAGUGAUGUGUGAGGGAGGUGAGUGGGGGUGAAGCAAAGGAGUCCAGGGAAGAAGAAUUCCUUUUUCCCUGUGGUACUUUGGAAGAGAGGAGGAGAGGAAUGAGGCGGGGGAGAAGGGGCACCUGAGCAAAUUGUGUGGGAGAGCUGCUCGGUGUCCAGUCAGCCCAGGGCAAUGAAGCCCCAGUUCCCGCAAGGGCCUGUCUUGCCUGGGCUGGGUGUUCCAAGUGAGGGCUCCAGGCACCCAUCUCCUCAGUGAGAGGCAGGUAUCCUGUGAUGAUGGCCAGGCUGCUGCUAAGGGCUUGCUGCCCCAAAGCUCUUCCUCAGGCUCACAGAUGCUCCCCCUGGGUCAGCAUCAGCCCAAGCCAGGAGCCAUGGGCCCCUCACUGCCUACAUGCCUGAACCCACCACCUUCCCCCAGACAUGGGUUGACACGUAGUGAUCCCAGCCUUGGACUGCCCCUGCACUGUCACACACGGCUCUGCUGGCAGGCCUGGCACCCUCCGCAAGUGCCACUGGCAGCUUGUGUCUGAAGAAGCAGGCAGUGAGGUUGCUCUUGUGCUGCUGUUAUUUGUGGCACACAGGACGGCCAGGCUGCCAGCACAAAGACUGUUCCUGAAGAGGUGAGCC